rnacentral:tRNA from 3 species
GCCUCUAUAGCUCAAGCGGAUAGAGCAAGGGACUCCUAAGCCCGAGAUCCAGGUUCAACUCCUGGUAGAGGCACAA